rnacentral:rRNA from 1 species
GAUGAACGCUGGCGGCGUGCCUAAUACAUGCAAGUCGAGCGAACAGACGAGGAGCUUGCUCCUCUGACGUUAGCGGCGGACGGGUGAGUAACACGUGGAUAACCUACCUAUAAGACUGGGAUAACUUCGGGAAACCGGAGCUCAUACCGGACGAUAUAUUGAACCGCAUGGUUCAAUAGUGAAAGACGGUUUUGCUGUCACUUAUAGAUGGAUCCGCGCCGCAUUAGCUAGUUGGUAAGGUAACGGCUUACCAAGGCAACGAUGCGUAGCCGACCUGAGAGGGUGAUCGGCCACACUGGAACUGAGACACGGUCCAGACUCCUACGGGAGGCAGCAGUAGGGAAUCUUCCGCAAUGGGCGAAAGCCUGACGGAGCAACGCCGCGUGAGUGAUGAAGGUCUUCGGAUCGUAAAACUCUGUUAUUAGGGAAGAACAAAUGUGUAAGUAACUAUGCACGUCUUGACGGUACCUAAUCAGAAAGCCACGGCUAACUACGUG